rnacentral:rRNA from 1 species
AGGGUUUGAUCCUGGCUCAGGAUGAACGCUGGCGGCGUGCCUAACACAUGCAAGUCGAGCGAGAAAUCGCCAAAUGAAGCUUCGGUAGAUUUUAGCGAUGGAAAGCGGCGGACGGGUGAGUAACGCGUAGGCAACCUGCCCCUUGCAGAGGGAUAGCCAUUGGAAACGAUGAUUAAAACCUCAUAACACCGCACUGUCACAUGUCAGAGCGGUCAAAGAUUUAUCGGCAAGGGAUGGGCCUGCGUCUGAUUAGCUGGUUGGUGGGGUAACGGCCUACCAAGGCGACGAUCAGUAGCCGACCUGAGAGGGUGAUCGGCCACAUUGGAACUGAGACACGGUCCAA